CGUUUACUGUACAGCUCUCUUGAACAGGGACAGGGGGACCUCAAGCGCUCGCCUUAUAUAGACAGCAGGCUGAGGCUAUGCUAAUUGUCCUUCAGGGAUUGGCGGAGCAUGAGUUAUCUUAUUAGCAUGGUGCUGCUCCCUCAUUAGCAUAUUACCGGCCAACUGAUCCCAGGUGCAGAGCCUGCGCAUGCACAGUACCGUUGUUCACCACAGGAGGGCGCCCUACAUUCGGGUCCUUAGGUAGAACUAUGUCCAAUUUUCUGAGGAACUUAUAUAUUGAUUUUCACAGUGGUUGUACCAGCUUGCAAUUCCAGCAGUUAUGGAGGAGUGUUCCUCUUUCUCCACGUCCUGGCCAACAUAUAGAAAUGCACCGAAGAACUUAUGGUGGUGUUCUGACUGCUUCUUGACACUUCAGCUGACUCAUGCCUUUCCAUGGAAUGUCGAGAUUUCUUCUUGCUCAAGCUGCUGCUACUGAUUGUAAUGGUCUGGAUUGCUGACAAUGAAGAUUGGAACCACUGCAAAGAACUACUUCUAAACAUGUCCAUAUCAUCUUUAUCCUAUUAGCCAUCUUCCUUAUCUACCUUUAAGUGGUAGGAUAUAAGGGAGAUUGAAGCAUUUAUGAACCCUUAUUAAAGUAGGUUUUAAAAAAUCUAA